rnacentral:rRNA from 1 species
CCUACGGGUGGCAGCAGUGGGGAAUAUUGGGCAAUGGGCGCAAGCCUGACCCAGCAACGCCGCGUGAGGGAAGAAGGCUUUCGGGUUGUAAACUUCUUUUCUCAGGGACGAAGCAAGUGACGGUACCUGAGGAAUAAGCCACGGCUAACUACGUGCCAGCAGCCGCGGUAAUACGUAGGUCGCAAGCGUUAUCCGGAUUUACUGGGUGUAAAGGGCGUGUAGGCGGGACUGCAAGGCAGAUGUGAAAACCACGGGCCCAACCUGUGGCCUGCAUUUGAAACUGUAGUUCUUGAGUACUGGAGAGGCAGGCGGAAUGCCCAGUGUAGCGGUGAAAUGCGUAGAUAUUAGGAGGAACACCAGUGGCGAAGGCAGUCUGCUGGACAGCAACUGACGCUGAGGCGCGAAAGCGUGGGGAGCAAACAGGAUUAGAUACCCCUGUAGUC